ACGAACGCUGGCGGCGUGCUUCACACAUGCCAGUCGAACGGAAAGGCCCCUUUGGGGGUCCUCGAGUGGCGAACGGGUGAGUAACACGUGAGUAACCUGCCCUUGACUUCGGGAUAACUUCAGGAAACUGGGGCUAAUACCGGAUAGGAAUCCUUGCUGCAUGGUGGGGGUUGGAAAGCUGCGGCGGUUUUGGAUGGACUCGCGGCUUAUCAGCUUGUUGGUGGGGUAGUGGCUUACCAAGGCUUUGACGGGUAGCCGGCCUGAGAGGGCGACCGGCCACAUUGGGACUGAGAGACGGCCCAGACUCCUACGGGAGGCAGCAGUGGGGAAUAUUGCACAAGGGGCGGAAGCCUGAUGCAGCAACGCCGCGUGCGGGAUGACGGCCUUCGGGUUGUAAACCGCUUUCAGCAGGGGCGAAGCUUGUGGUGACGGUACCUACAGAAGAAGCACCGGCUAACUACGUG
rnacentral:rRNA from 1 species